rnacentral:rRNA from 1 species
GAUGAACGCUGGCGGCGUGCCUAAUACAUGCAAGUCGAGCGAACGGACGAGAAGCUUGCUUCUCUGAUGUUAGCGCCGGACGGGUGAGUAACACGUGUAUAACCUACCUAUAAGACUGGGAUAACUUCGGGAAACCGGCGCUACUACCGGAUAAUAUUUUGCACCGCAUGGUUCAAGAGUGAAAUACGGUCUUGCUGUCACUUAUAGAUGGAUCCGCGCUGCAUUAGCUAGUUGGUAAGGUAACGGCUUACCAAGGCAACGAGGCAUAGCCGACCUGAGCGGGUGGUCGGGCACACUGGAAGUGAGACACGGUCCAGACUCCUACGGGAGGCAGCAGUAGGGAAUCUUACGCGAUGGGCGAGAGCCUGACGGAGCAAAGCCGCGGGAGGGAUGAAGGUGUUCGGAUCGGAAAACUGUGUUAGUAGGGAAGAACAUAUGUGUAAGUAACUGUGAAGAUCAUGACGGUACCUAAUCAGAAAGCCACGGCUAACUACGUG